CGGAAGGACAUUGUCAAGUCCUUGUACCGAAUGACCGGGGAACGCGUUCCAAAAAAUAAUAAGCGCUGCUGCGCCCUUGCUCGGUCGGUCGGUGACUUAAUUAUUUGUUGCCGCACGCGUCGAGCAUCGAAAACAAAAAAAUAUCCGGCGCGGGAAGCGCCAAGGACUAGCAAAAUAGAGAGCGGACGGCCAUCCCGCGGUGUCCUCGCCGCGGGGGUCGUCUCCGAACGAAAAUAAAAUUAUACGACUCUCGGCAACGGAUAUCUAGGCUCUCGCAUCGAUGAAGAACGUAGCAAACUGCGAUAGUUGGUGUGAAUUGCAGAAUCCCGUGAACCAUGGAGUCUUUGAACGCAAGUUGCGCCCGAAGCCAUUAGGCCGAGGGCACGUCUGCCUGGGCGUCACGCGUUGCGUCGGCCCCCCACCCCCGUGUCCCGAAAGGGUCGCGGGCCUUGGCGCGGGGGCGGAAGUUGGCUUCCCGCGGAGUGUUCGCGGCCAGCCCGAAACACGGCUCCCUCGCCGCACGCGUCGCGACAAGUGGUGGUCGUCGAGAUUGCACGCGAGUUGCCGGCAAGCUGCGUCGAGGAGAGAGACCCCGUGCGAGAUCGAGUCCUUCAGGGAGGGGCAGUUCCGAGGAUUGGUGCGACCCCAGGUCAGGC
rnacentral:rRNA from 1 species